UUUUGCACUAUAUAAAAUACAUUCACGAUAUUAUAUCUGACCUAUGAUAAGCGUGAAUCGGGACUUGUGUAGAGUCUGGUCCAAGUCCAGCAAUGUAACUUCAUGUCCGCAGUAAUUGUGUAGUUGUUAUCUUGUCAUCCUUUUCUUUUCCCAUAUACAUGUAACAGUCUUCUGUGGAUCUCCAUGAACUUUUCCAAAAAAAAGCUUAUUGUUAGAUCCACAUUCUCAGCCUAAAGUGGGACAAGCAUAUAAAAGCUUAGGUCACCAAAUAAAAUAUUAGAAAAACCUUGUUACUACUGUUCAUGCAACAUUUAUGACUCAUUUUUGAUGAAACUUGUUCUUAAUGUUUUUUAUGCCCCCCUUCGAAGAAGAGGGGGUAUAUUGCUUUGCACAUGUCUGUCUGUCCGUCAGUCCGUCCACCAGGUGGUUUCCGGAUGAUAACUCAAGAACGCUUAGGCCUAGGAUCAUGAAACUUCAUAGGUACAUUGAUCAUGACUCGCAGAUGACCCCUAUUGAUUUUGAGGUCACUAGGUCAAAGGUCAAGGUCACGGUGACCGGAAAUAGUAAAAUGGUUUCCGGAUGAUAACUCAAGAACGCUAAGGCCUAGGAUCAUGAAACUUGAUAGGUAGAUUGAUCAUGACUCGCAGAUGACCCUUAUUGAUUUUCAGGUCACUAGGUCAAAGGUCAAGGUCUCAGUGACCCGAAAUAGUAAAAUGGUUUCCGGAUGAUAACUCAAGAACGCUUAUGCUUAGGAUCAUGAAACUUCGUAGGUAGAUUGAUCAUGACUUGCAGAUGACCCCUAUUGAUUUUCAGGUCACUAGGUCAAAGGUCAAGGUCACGGUGACCCGAAAUAGUAAAAUGGUUUCCGGAUGAUAACUCAAGAACGCUUAUGCCUAGGAUCAUGAAACUUGAUAGGUAGAUUGAUCAUGACUCGCAGUUGACCCCUAUUGAUUUUCAGGUCACUAUAUCAAAGGUCAAGGUCACGGUGACCUGAAAUAGUAAAAUGGUUUCCGGAUGAUAACUGAAGAACGCUUAUUC